UGUAGAGAAUCUGCCCUGUACUGGGGGACAACAGAGGGAAACUUCUGCUAAUACCCCAUAUGAGCGUACCUGCGAUGGUAUUCUUGAAAGUUCCGGCGGUACAGGAUGAGUCUGCAUCUGAUUAGCUAGUUGGUGGUGUAAUGGACUACCAAGGCGACGAUCAGUAGCUGGUUUGAGAGGAUGAUCAGCCACAAUGGGACUGAGACACGGCCCAAACUCCUACGGGAGGCAGCAG
rnacentral:rRNA from 1 species